GAUGAACGCUAGCUACAGGCUUAACACAUGAAAGUCGAGGGACCGGCGCACGUGUGAGUAACACGUAUCCAACCUGCCCUUUACUCGGGGAUAGCCUUUCGAAAGAAAGAUUAAUACCCGAUAUAAAGGAUGGGGAUGCGUUCCAUUGGGUUGUUGGUGAGGUAACGGCCCACCAAGCCUUCGAUGGAUAGGGGUUCUGAGAGGAAGGGACCCACAUUGGAACUGCGACACGGUCCACACUCCUGCGGGAGGCAGCAGUGAGGAAUAUUGGUCAAUGGGCGUUAGCCUGAGCCAGCCAAGUAGCGUGAAGGAUGAAGGCUUAUGGGUCGUAAGCUUAUUUUAUAUAAGAAUAUGUAUUAUAUGAAUAAGGAUCGGCUAACUCCGUGCCAGCAGCCGCGGUAAUAC
rnacentral:rRNA from 1 species